GUCUAUGGCCAUGCCACCCUGAACAAGCCCGAUCCCAUCUAAUCUCGGAAGCUAAGCAGGGUCGGGUCUGGUUAGUACUUGGAUGGGAGGCCACCUAGGAAGACCAGGUGCCGCAGGCG
rnacentral:rRNA from 1 species